rnacentral:rRNA from 1 species
GACGAACGCUGGCGGCGUGCUUAACACAUGCAAGUCGAACGGUAAGGCCCUUCGGGGUACACGAGUGGCGAACGGGUGAGUAACACGUGGGUGAUCUGCCCUGCACUUCGGGAUAAGCCUGGGAAACUGGGUCUAAUACCGGAUAGGACUACUGCCUGCAUGGGUGGUGGUGGAAAGCUCUUGCGGUGUGGGAUGGGCCCGCGGCCUAUCAGCUUGUUGGUGGGGUGAUGGCCUACCAAGGCGACGACGGGUAGCCGGCCUGAGAGGGUGACCGGCCACACUGGGACUGAGAUACGGCCCAGACUCCUACGGGAGGCAGCAGUGGGGAAUAUUGCGCAAUGGGCGCAAGCCUGAUGCAGCGACGCCGCGUGAGGGAUGACGGCCUUCGGGUUGUAAACCUCUUUCAGCACCGACGAAGCGCAAGUGACGGUAGGUGCAGAAGAAGGACCGGCCAACUACGUGCCAGCCGCCGCCGUAA